GUCACUUUGCCGGAGUGGUUAACGGGAUCGCCUGCUAUUAAUUGUCAAAGCGGUUGCUCUUUGAGCGCGUGUGUUCGAAUCGCACAGGUGACG